GGCGAGGGGAGUGAAAAAGAACCUGAAACCGUGUACGUACAAGCAGUGGGAGCCUCUUAAUGGGGUGACUGCGUACCUUUUGUAUAAUGGGUCAGCGACUUAUAUUCUGUAGCAAGGUUAACCGAAUAGGGGAGCCGAAGGGAAACCGAGUCUUAACUGGGCGUUAAGUUGCAGGGUAUAGACCCGAAACCCGGUGAUCUAGCCAUGGGCAGGUUGAAGGUUGGGUAACACUAACUGGAGGACCGAACCGACUAAUGUUGAAAAAUUAGCGGAUGACUUGUGGCUGGGGGUGAAAGGCCAAUCAAACCGGGAGAUAGCUGGUUCUCCCCGAAAGCUAUUUAGGUAGCGCCUCGUGAAUUCAUCUCCGGGGGUAGAGCACUGUUUCGGCAAGGGGGUCAUCCCGACUUACCAACCCGAUGCAAACUGCGAAUACCGGAGAAUGUUAUCACGGGAGACACACGGCGGGUGCUAACGUCCGUCGUGAAGAGGGAAACAACCCAGACCGCCAGCUAAGGUCCCAAAGUCAUGGUUAAGUGGGAAACGAUGUGGGAAGGCCCAGACAGCCAGGAUGUUGGCUUAGAAGCAGCCAUCAUUUAAAGAAAGCGUAAUAGCUCACUGGUCGAGUCGGCCUGCGCGGAAGAUGUAACGGGGCUAAACCAUGCACCGAAGCUGCGGCAGCGACACUAUGUGUUGUUGGGUAGGGGAGCG
rnacentral:rRNA from 1 species